GGGUUGCAAUUUUCCGCCCCACCCCCGGCCCUCUGCGGAGGGGGAGGGCCGGAGGUUGACUCUGUGGGCCUCCAUCCGGCCUGUUGGGAAACUUCCAGAGACAUCCCCAGGGAGGGGGUUCAGAGAGCUUCCUGGCCUGUGGACACACGCAGGUGUGGGGAGAGAGGUGCUCCCGGAGAGGCCACGGGAGUUCUGCCUCCCUUCCCCACACCUGGCCCUGUGCAUGACUCCUCUGGCUGGUCCUGAGUCCUGUCCUGUCACCAUCAACCGUGGCCCGUCCAGGAUCCAUUCUGGAAUCCCACAUUACAUCUUGGCCACGGCGGCUGACUGUCCUCCUGCAUGGGGAAGGCCCUACAUCUUUCCUGAUCUUUCGUGACCUGAACACUUGAAGAAUCACGAGAGACAGCGUAUCAGCGGGGGACAUGCAGAGAGAGAGGGAGACACUAAGUCAGAAGCAGGCUCCAGGCUCUGAGCUGUCAGCACCGAGCCCGACGCGAGGCUCGAAUUCACAGACCUUGAGAUCGUGACCUGAGCCGAAGUUGGUCGCUCAACUGACCGAGUCACCCAGGCGCCCCAGGAUUCUUUCUUCUUACUGGAAUUUUUACCCAUCAGCUGGAUGACAGUGUUCAGCUCUUAAUUGCCCGCGGACGCUUCUCCAGUGAGUGCCUGACGGUUCUGCCUUUCCGGAACUCGCACACGGGGGAGUAAACAGCCUUUAUUUUUGCAUGUUGGGGAGGAAGAAUUUCCUCUGCCAUUCAAGGUCCUCCUGGUUGGAUUAAGAAUCAAGUUGACACGAGGCAGAUGAGCAUGAGAAAAUCACGUUUACUUUCCUACGUACGGGGAACCCACACAGACACAGAAAUUCCAACGACAGGCAAAAUGAGAGUCGAGAACCUAAGCGUUUCCAAGAACUGUGUUUAUGGCCUUUUGUUGACCAGGAAUGGCCCCUUCAUAUCCUAUGUCGUCAAAUCCAAGAUGCUUUUCAAGGUCAACUCACUCAGUCACUCUUACUGGGUGAAGACUUGCAAAUCAAUCAGAGCAUUAAGUGGAUCUCCAGAAGUUUCACAGCAAUUUAGAAAUGAAACCAAGAUUUAAUACCAGCCUGCUUAAAAAGGUGCCAUGUCGAUGAUGCACGCCGUGCAACAGAUGGGAAAAAUCCUCAUGCAACUUAACAACAUGCUCACGUUUUCCUGUAGUUCUGCCGAAACACAACUUUGUGAGAGCUCCCUCCGUUAAAGCCAAGGCAGCCAGGUAAUGAAGGAGUCAGAAAGUGGACAGAAGCUGCCGGCAAGUUGUACCUGCCUGAGAAUGGAAUUGGCAACCAUGAAGCCUUUCAACAGGGUUUGGUUGUCCCAAGAACGGUGGCGUUUGCAACCAUUUUGGAAUGGGUCGUGGCCUCGGGAAGGAGCUUAAAGAAAAUCAUUUUGCCCGAAUUCCACGUGAAAAUGGCAUGAUGAUUACUUUUUCUUCCUGUCCCUGCCAACACUUGGUGCUUGGCUAAAUGAAAAUAAAGGACAGAUAAGCUCACGGCUCGACAUUAUUGUCCUCUGCAUACAAAGUUCCACAUUCCAGGAGAGACACCGUGCCAUAUGGUUAGACUCUGUGCAUCACGGACUGAAGUCAGAAAAAGCUUGCCAAGCCCUGAUGCAGAAGAUUGUUGAGUAAAAAACAUCAUUCCCAGCACCGCCAAGCAUGCGCUAAUCUCUUCUCUGCGUCUUCCAAAUUGUGGCUCCAGAUGUUGUCCCUGAUUCAUGGGGUGUUCACGAAAGCUGGCAAGGCCACCGACAAAUGUGUUACAUGACUGCUGCGCCUUGAAAAACAAACAGACCGACAAAGCUGGCCUCAAGUUUCCAACUUGUUACAGAAGAACGAUAAGAAUAGCAUAAAAUGGAGAACUGAGCACACAGCCCUCUUCGGAUCCUGCGUUCGCCUCUCUCUCUGCGGCCGCAGGGCUCGAAGUCAAGAACCGCGAGAUCAUGACCUGACUCACGGUCAGGUGCUUAACGGAGCGAGCCACCCAGGCACCCCAAGGAGUGCUUUCAACUACACCAUAGUAAUAAGGUCAAUAUUGGGGAAAACAAAGAAAAUCACAGUGUAUUCCCUUUGCUUUCACAAACCUUAUUCUGGGGCCAAAAGGCCAAAGAACCUGACACUCGUGAUUGCAUCUGGCACAAUUUUCUGCAAAGUUCUGGAAUGUUCCUCCUCUGCUCUCGCAAGGGCGAAAACACAGAUCUUACAACACUGCCGACUUUCGAAGGAACACGAAAGCCAAGACUUGGCUUCUCCUGCCAUUCCGUGGAGGUGACGAUAGGGAAGAAUCCAUAAACUUCAACAGUAACAUAAACGAGCUGGGCCAAGUAAAUGAACCCAUCAGAAGGAUGCUCCAGUGUCACACAGUGCACAUUCUGGAAAACUCUGGGCCAGUAGAGUUACCAUCGUCCUCAGACACAGGUCUGAAAGAUGCCAGGUCUAUGCUAUAGCCGCGUGGCUUGGAAAUCGGUGCAGGUACCUUUGGGUUUUAUGUUUCCUCACAGGGUCUGUGGGGAGCCAUGUAGGGUACCAUGUACGCCUCCCUCCUUCCUCCUAGAUGACCAUCUUCCACGAUGGGUCUGGGCACAAGGCUGUGCACUGAAACACCUCCUCAACCUCUUUUGCUUCCAGACACGGCCCCGACACUCAUUUCUGGCCAGUUACAUGUAGGAGACAUGCUGGAGUUCAAAUUCAGGUCCUUCCCAAAGCAACGUACUUACCUUCUAACUCUCCCUCUCUGGCCCAUGGCAUCACUUUCAACCAGGAAACAGGACAGCCCGUUCCCACAUCCCUUUACAACAGUGUUAUGGACUAAAUUAUGGUCUCCUGGUGGGGGAAAAAAGAUACUUUAAAGACCUAUUUUUAGGGGCACCUGGGGGGAUCAGUCGGUUAAGCGUCCAACUUCAGCUCAAGUCACGAUCUCAUGGUUCGU